AUGAAGCAAAUGAUCAAAGUUGCACUGCAACAGUGUCAGAUAUGCCAACUUGCUAAACUUGAUAGAGUUCCCUACCCAGGUCUGUUGCAGCCUUUACCUAUACCUUCACAGCCGUGGGAAAUGAUGACAAUGGAUUUCAUAGAAGGAUUGCCUGUUUCACAGCAUUACAACUGCAUUUUAGUGAUUGUGGACAAACUAACUAAGUAUGGGCACUUCAUUGCUCUCAAGCACCCUUACACAGCUACCACAGUGGCAGAACAAUUCUUGGAUCGUGUGUGCCGUCUGCAUGGCCUUCCUGUAUCGCUGGUUUCUGAUCGUGAUCCAGUUUUUACCAGCUCGUUUUGGAAAGAGGUGUGCAACAAAACAGGUAUUAAACUGCGCAUGAGUUCGGGUCAACAUCCUCAGACUGACGAGCAAACCGAACGGGUGAACCAGCAGGUGGAAGGGUAUCUCAGAUGUUUUAUCAGCGCCUCCGAAUCGUUGGUUCAGCUGGCUCCCGCUCUGUGAAUUGUGGUAUAAUACAAAUUGGCACUCUUCGACUGGCCGUACUCCAUUGAACUGGUCUAUGGGCACCCUCCCCAUUAUUUUGGCAUAUCUCCAGUGGACGCUGUUGGCAGUUCAGACGCUCAACAGUGGUUGCGUGACAGGCAUGUGAUCAUGGAGUCAGUUAAACAACAUUUGUUACGUAUGCAGAAGCGAAUGAAGAUUCAGGCUGAUAAACACCGAACGGAAAGAUGUUUCGAGGUAGGCGACACGGUGUUCGUCAACAUGCAACCGUACAUUCAGCCUUCUAUCGCCCCUCGCGCAAAUCACAAGCUGGCUUUCAAAUACUUUGGACCUUUUGAAAUACUGGCCCGGAUCGGUGCAGUGGCUUACAAGCUGAAGCUGCCGGACAACUGCAGAGUACACCUAGUUUUUCAUGUCUCCUUGCUCAAGCGCCAUGUCAAACCAGACCAGCAGGUAUUGCCUGUUCUUCCUUCAACAUCAACUCACCUGCAGGUUCCGUCUUACUUCAUCGAUCGUCACUUGGUUUCGCGUGGGGACAAGAUGGUGGCUCAAGUACUGGUCAAGUGGAGCCAUUCUCCAGCAUCGUCGGCAACCUGGGAAGCCCAAGACAUGCUGAAGCAACAAUUUCCACGCGCACCGGCUUGGGGGCAAGCCGUUUUCCUUCUAGGGGGGAUUGUUAGCAGCACUGACCAGGACACAUCGACAAUACCUGAAUCGCUACAAAAGGAUCCGGCAAGCGCAGAACAGGCGAGGCCCAAGAGGAGAGCCCAGGCGCCGACAAGGUUGCGAGGCCCAUAA
rnacentral:rRNA from 1 species